ACUCAACACUAACAAAUUAAGAUGGGUAAAUCUUCGUUUCUAAAGCAAGCUGCCUUGAGCAGAUCCUUGAACAACGAGUUAGCCCAAAACUUGUCGAUUUACGAGUUU
rnacentral:sRNA from 1 species